rnacentral:rRNA from 1 species
GGGUGAGUAACACGUGGGCAACCUGCCUGUAAGACUGGGAUAACACCGGGAAACCGGUGCUAAUACCGGAUAAUCCUUUUCCUCUCAUGAGGAAAAGCUGAAAGUCGGUUUCGGCUGACACUUACAGAUGGGCCUGCGGCGCAUUAGCUAGUUGGUGAGGUAACGGCUCACCAAGGCGACGAUGCGUAGCCGACCUGAGAGGGUGAACGGCCACACUGGGACUGAGACACGGCCCAGACUCCUACGGGAGGCAGCAGUAGGGAAUCUUCCGCAAUGGACGCAAGUCUGACGGAGCAACGCCGCGUGAGUGAUGAAGGUUUUCGGAUCGUAAAGCUCUGUUGCCCUAGACGAACAGCAGGGAGAGUAACUGAUCUCUGUGUGACGGUAUAGGAGAAGAAAGCCCCGGCUAACUACGUGCCAGCAGCCGCGGUAAUACGUAGGGGGCAAGCGUUGUCCGGAAUUAUUGGGCGUAAAGCGCGCGCAGGCGGUUAAUUAAGUUGGGUGUUUAAGCCCGGGGCUCAACCCCGGUUCGCAUCCAAAACUGGUUGACUUGAGUGUAG